rnacentral:rRNA from 1 species
CAGUAGCCGCGGGAAUACAGAGGGUGCGAGCGUUAAUCGGAUUUACUGGGCGUAAAGCGUGCGUAGGCGGCUUCUUAAGUCGGAUGUGAAAUCCCUGAGCUUAACUUAGGAAUUGCAUUCGAUACUGGGAAGCUAGAGUAUGGGAGAGGAUGGUAGAAUUCCAGGUGUAGCGGUGAAAUGCGUAGAGAUCUGGAGGAAUACCGAUGGCGAAGGCAGCCAUCUGGCCUAAUACUGACGCUGAGGUACGAAAGCAUGGGGAGCAAACAGGAUUAGAUACCCCCGUAGUCCCUGUCUCUUAUAA